GAAGGAGGAACAUGUGAGGUGAUCGCAGCACACCGAUGUUGCAACAAGAACCGUAUUGAGGAACGUUCCCAGACGGUCAAGUGUUCAUGUUUACCAGGAAAAGUGGCUGGCACGACACGAAACAAACCCUCCUGUGUAGACGCCUCCAUUGUGAUUGGGAAGUGGUGGUGUGAGAUGGAGCCAUGUCUGGAGGGAGAAGAGUGCAAGACGCUACCAGACAACUCCGGCUGGAUGUGUUCCUCUGGGAAUAAGAUCAAGACCACGAGGAACACCCAGCCAUAUUCCACUUUUUAGCUCUGAGGGCCACUCAAUCUUCAGAAGCUCAGCGGCGUCCUUCUCCUCAUCAAGAUUCAUCCCCGGACCUAACAAAGAGCUCCUUCACAGGCGGUGAAUGUGGAUUCUCUCUGUCAAAAAAAUGGACGAAACCAUUCAUUCAAAGGGGUGUUUGACUGGAUUACCUGUGAAUGAACAAUAAAGGAGGAUAAAUACACAAUAUUUGCUCAUUCGGUGCCAAGGAAUAUAUGAAAAAUCGAAAUAAAGCAGGCUAAUCUGUGUUUUGAUCAAUGAGCCCAACGCUGCGGACUCAACAGUCCUGUACACUUCCGUCGAUUUUCUGUGUUUCUCCUGACCACCUUCCUCUGGUUCUAAACUUAUACAGCUUAGAGGAGCCGUUUACUGGAUUUCAAAUUAUACCUGAAGACUUUACCUCCCUAGGUAAACUGGACAAUCCUGAUAUAAGCUGUGAACGACUGUAUGAAGGAUCAUGAUGGAUAAGCGCUGGUCUGUGAAAAUGAGGAGGAAAUCAAUAGGAGAUUUUUUCCAUCCCUCCAUCAAUCUGUCAUUGCGUCGUCCACGCUGGCUUUGGUAAUAGACUGGGAGUUUGUGAAGCCCUACUGUUUCCCCUCCACUUCUGAGUUUAUCACUCAGUGCUACUGUCUACAUGCUGUUCGUUUUGGAAAAUCCCCCCCGCAGGUCAAAGCUCACCCUCUCACCGUCUACACCUACUUGAGCCAGAUAUCUUUUUAUUUGUCGGCAUGCUCAAUGUAUUUUGUGGGAGCUUUGUAUUGAAAGUAACUGUAUAUAUUUCUGUAUAUAUACAUAUAGAUACAUAUUAAAAGAUAUCAUAUGAAGAUCUAACAUGCCCAUAAACCUGUUCAGUGGGACUAUAUUGAUGGUCUUUGUUCCUCGGACAACAAGUACAAUUAAUCCUGAAUUUAAAGCUGUUUGUGGAAGUAGAUAUUCUCUCAAUGUAAUUGAAGACCUGCUUUUUUUCUUUUGCUUGACGACUUUUUCCGAUGAAUCUAAUAUAUUUUUUAAAAUUCACUAAACAGUUUUGCAGAAAAAAAGCAUUACAGCCCAAACAAAAUACGCUGAAUUAGUCAUGGGUAUUUAAGUCAUUGUCAUUCAUUUACAAUGCAAACAAACUCAUUUUCAUGCAAAUUAGGCUUAUUAAAAACUGUGGAUUAUUCAAAGAACUAUUUACUUGUUGAAAUUAAUGUUGUGCUACUACAUUUUAUGUUGAUCAUGACAGUACUAAUUCAAAAGAGAUGCUGUGACACAUCAAGUCAACUAAGAAUUAGUGCAGAUUCAAGGCAAGUAAUAUGUUGUCGGCUCAGAUUGUGUGGGGUCUUGGCCUAAACAUUUUAAAAUUAGUAUUCUUCAUUAAGAUGACAGAAAAACCAAAACAAAGACUGCAUACAGUAUAUACAAGCAUCACACUUCACAAAAUAUCAGUCAUCUUGAUCUCCAUUUGAAUUCUAAUGCUGAGUUCAGACUGCAUAAAUUUAGCCCCGAUUUUGACUAGCCGACAGGUUUUGAGAAAUCGCAGGCAAUCGGUGCUCAUUCAUGUGAGAAACAAUCACACAGUAUGAACUAUCAAAGACGCGAUCUGAAAGAAUCGCAGAUAAGUCAUCAACACCCGUCAGAUAUUUGGCAUGCUAAAUAUCUGGACCUGUCAGUGAUUCAAAAUCAUGCCGUGUGAAAUGUGUUUGGUUAAAAUGAACAUUGGCGAUCACCUACAGCCUAUGACAGAGCGGCAUUCACUCGUAUGAGUAUCUGUAGACCAGUGAGAGGUUGGCUGAGAAGUUCAAUUUGCUUCUUCUCAGUCUAUUUGGACUCAAGAAAUGGAGUAGUGUAAAUUUGGCAGGAUUACUCGUGUCCGUUUGACUUGUCGUCGGAGCAAUAUCAUAGCCGGGUUGAAAAAGAAAAAAAAGUUGAGGAAAAUGUGCUAAUUCCCUUCAAAGGCCAGGGGCCUUAUGUAA
ensembl:processed_transcript